rnacentral:lncRNA from 1 species
UGUAAGAUAGUAAAACUGACGCUUUGGGUUUCCCAACUCGUCAGAUACUGAUGCUUUCAGAUGGUGGCCGACCCAACCUACAAUCCUAAAGCGUCAGUAUCUGACGAGUUGGGAAACCCAAAGCGUCGGUUUUACCAUCUUACAAACAGGAGCUUUAAGUUCCCCUGUGUAGUUCCCUUGUUGAAUUUCCAUGCCCUUCUUGUGUCUCUGGUUCUUUAAGUGUCUUAGGUGUUUUCCUCUGUCUCCCUCUGUCUGUAGUUUUGUUUCCCUCCAUGUUUCUCCUCUGUGCUCCUCCCCCGCUCAUUACCACACCUGGCCUCCUCCCUCCUCUCUCUCCUCACCUGUUCCUUGUCUGAUCGUUAGUGUCUCUGUUUUAAGCCUCUGCUUUCCCUCUUGUCUUGGUCCGGUCAUUGUAUGCUUCAUGCUCAUGUCCAUAUCUGCAUCUUGUCCUGUCCUGUCCUCCCAGAGCUCCUUUUGUCUCCAGUCUUCCCUUGGUAGAUGGAUAUUCCUGCUGCACCUGAUCACCGCAGAAACCAUCACAGAGAAGGAAGCAGUUUUCUUUUUCUCGCUCUGCUCUUCUUCAGCUGCUCUGGCUAUGAGAGAUGAAUGAAGGGAAAGGAAGGGAGCCGGCGAGAGUCGGGACAGGUGGCAGCGCCGGUUAAAUGUUAAAUGAUGAAGAGGGGAGCCGUGCUCGAGCAGCAGGGAAGGCUCACCUGUCACGGCCCCCGCCAGCGUCCCCGGAAACGCCAAAAGGGCCGCCGGACAGGCUGAUUCAUGACCCGGCUGGCAGGAGGCUCUCAAAACAAUUUAAGGAUAAAGUAUCGUCAUUUUUAAAAUCCCCUGUCACUCUCUGCCUGUUUAACGCUUGACACCACAUUUUUUUCUCCUUCUGCUCCCCUCGCUCUUCUUCUGUGGUUAAAGAGAUCCUGCAGCGACCAGAUCAUCUGGUCAGAGCAGGAAGUGCAUCAGGGAGCAUCAGGCCGUUUGUCUUCACACAGGUUGACAGGCUUUGUUAAUGGUUAUUUUAACAAGUGCAGUUAAUGAUGGCUGAUGAUGAUGUUGAUGUUUUGCCAGAAAUGUUCUGGAUUUUAAAUAUGACACUGGCUACAUUUAUUU